UUGAACAUACAAUAACAUCAAUACACAACAAUAUCAAUAUAACAAUAAUAUUAAUACAACAUCUCAUAAAGUGGUGUGAGACAGAGCCUCCAUUGCUCCCACGUUACCUGUAGGCCACCGCAGCUCUCUGACACCGAAGCAAAGGGAGGAGCGAAGUGAGAGAGAGAUCCACGGAUAGAUAGAUCUCUCUCUCUCUCCGUCUCUCUCCCAAUUCAACCCAAACUCAGAUCUGCUCCAUUGGCGUGAACGCCCAGGAACGGCAUCGCCAAAGCGUCACCUGCUGUCCCUCAGGUUGUGGCAUGAGGAAGUGCAUCUCCGUCUCAGCCUCACCGGUCCCACAGUGACCACAUGUUCUGUUCUCUCUUGGUUGCCAUGACUUUUUGUGUCGUCCUGGUUCAAUCUCCACUUUAUGGUCACUGAGCCUGUACUUGGUGAGGUUCUGUCUCUGCUUCAUGUCUCUGACUGUAGAGAGGUACUCUGCCAAUUCAUAGUCUCUCUCUAGGGCCAGAUCACAUUCCAGUCUGCUUUGGCCCCCAGUUUCCUCUCUCCAGUGCUCCAGUGCUUCUUUACAUCUCGCCAUGAUGUGUUUUACUCUGGUUGGUGUUUGGAGAGCCGUGUUGUUGAGAGACUGGUCCCCGUGUGUCUGAGAGGAGGCAGCUAGUCUCAGCACCAGCUGACAUAGGGGACUCUUCUCUGGGCUCAGCUCUUGGGUUCGCAGGGCUUUGGAGUGGAGGGUGUCUGGGGGGCUGGAUUUAAGGUGAUUGAAGAAUGUGAGUGCUCUCUUUUGAAUGUUAAUGAUCAGUGGGUAUCUAGUUCUGCUCUACAUGCAUUUGUUGGGGUGUUUCUGUGUAAAAUGUGUCUGCAGAAUUCUGCAUGUAGAGACUCUGUUGAUGUUUGUCCAGCGGGUAUAACUGUGAUGACUGAGUGGACCCAUACUUCACUACCAUACAGCACAAUGGGCUGGA